rnacentral:rRNA from 1 species
UCCUACGGGAGGCAGCAGUGGGGAAUUUUGGACAAUGGGGGCAGCCCUGAUCCAGCCAUGCCGCGUGAGUGAAGAAGGCCUUCGGGUUGUAAAGCUCUUUUGGUCGGAAAGAAAAGGCUUCGUCUAAUAAACGAGGCUCUUGACAGUACCGGCAGAAUAAGCACCGGCUAACUACGUGCCAGCACCCGCGGUAAUA